UACGUAGGGUCCGAGCGUUGUCCGGAAUUACUGGGCGUAAAGAGCUCGUAGGUGGUUUGUCGCGUUGUUCGUGAAAACUCACAGCUCAACUGUGGGCGUGCGGGCGAUACGGGCAGACUGGAGUACUGCAGGGGAGACUGGAAUUCCUGGUGUAGCGGUGGAAUGCGCAGAUAUCAGGAGGAACACCAGCGGCGGAAGGCGGCGCUCUGGGCUGGCACUGACACUGGAGGAGCGAAAGCGUGGGGAGCGAACAGG
rnacentral:rRNA from 1 species